UACAGAGGUCUCAAGCGUUGUUCGGAUUCAUUGGGCGUAAAGGGUGCGUAGGUGGCGGGGUUAGUCAGGUGUGAAAUCUCGGGGCUCAACCCGAAACUGCACUUGAUACUGCCUUGCUAGAGUACUGGAGAGGAGAUUGGAAUUUACGGUGUAGCAGUGAAAUGCGUAGAUAUCGUAAGGAAGACCAGUGGCGAAGGCGGCUCUCUGGGACGUGACUGACGCUGAGACGCGAAAGCGUGGGGAGCGAACAGG
rnacentral:rRNA from 1 species